GUGGAUAGUGAGAGGACAAGGGGGAAUGGUCUUAAACUGACAUGGGAGGUUUAGAUUAGACAUUAGGGGGAAGUUUUUCACACAGAGGGUGGUGAUACACUGGAACGUAAGAUAGUAGCUGUACGUUUUAACAAGUUGAAGGUCAGCAAAAAUAAGACUAGGCCUAAGUAGCAUAAAUUAAUGUCUUCUGGAAUUUUGCUGUCAUAUGAACAACAAGCAGUUUAGUUUGAGAGUGGGUUAUGAAUCCUUUGAAAGAAGCAUGUGGUGCAUGUGCAGUCAUAAGUCUUUCACUGUAUUCCCUCCAACAGCUUAAACAACUGCUGUAGAUGAACCAGUGUGAGGAGGUGGAGCCAGUGUUAGGAAGGCACGCUGCUUCGACAAAGCUGGAGGUAAGAACAACAGCAGGAGGGACACAGACCAGCCUUGCAAUCAGAGUGCUUACAGAGAGACAGAGGACAGAAGGUUACAGCAAAAUGUGCCGUAACUGCAUCAGUAGUCAAGGGAAGAGCCACCGAUGUCAUCUAUCUGGACUUCAGUAAGACCUUUGACACAGUCCCCCAUAACAUCCUUCUCUCCAAAUUGGAAGGAUAUGGAUUCGACAAGUGGACUGUUCAGUGGAUGAAAAACUGGUUACAAGAUUGUACCCAGAGAGUUGUGUUCAGUGGCUCGAUGUCUGGAUGGAGACCAGUGGCAAGUGGUGUCCCUCAGGAGUCAGUACUGGGACUAGUGCUCUUUAACAUCUUCAUCAAUGGCAUCAACAGUGGGAUCGAGUGUACUCUCAGCAAGGCUAUAGAUGAUACCAAGCUGUGUGAUGCAGUUGACACAUUCAAGGAACAGGAUGCCAGCCGGAGAAACCUAUGUAAGACCAAGCAGUGGGCCCAGGUGAACCUCAUGAGGUUCAAUAAAUUGAAGUGCAAGGUCUUGCACCUGCAUUAUGGCAAAUCCUACUAUGGGAACAAGCUGGGGGAUAUAAGGAUGGUGCACAACUCUGCCAAAAAGGACUUGAGGUGGAUGGCAAGCUGGACAUAAGCCAGCAAUGUACCCUUGCAGCGCAGAAAGCCAACCAUAUCCUGAGCUGCAUGUACAAUAAACAAAUGUACAGUUGGAAGAAUAGCACAGUUAGGAUGGUACUCCACAGGUGUAUAGUUGGAAAGAUUAUCAUGGUGGAAAAGAGACAGUCAAAGAAGAAAUGCUCACCCAUAUCCAAGAAUCCAGGCUCACAGUGGAAAACUCCAAAAAGGAGAGAUCUCCAGAAAGAGAUCCUUCCCCAGUGGAAGUCAGCCCUUAAAUUGGGUCUAGGAGAGGUGGAGCCAGGCUCCACCCCUUCCAGUCACUCAGGUGAAUUGCCUUCACUUGUGCUCCCACAGCUGACUCAGUCCUUUCCUCAGGUGCUCAAUCAGUGUUUCAGGCCGAACAGUUCCCAUCCACUCCACCCCUUCAUAGCAUGAACCAAUAAUCGAGCAAGCUAGAGGGUGAGCCUUCCCUAAUAGAGAUCCAGAGACACCACGAUGCUUAUACAAUUGCCUGUCGCCAUGCAGGUUGACACAAUUUAAGACGACUGAUGAUCAAUGUGUGGUUGAGGUUCAUGUUCUUUCAUGGGCCAGUGCUCAGUGGUGUUACUGGAAGUAUGCCAUCAUGUCGUGUAGGUCCAUCCUAUGUCACAUCAGUCCCACAUAGGCCAUCACCGGGUGUCGUGCUUGAUCUCACAGCAGCACUGGAACACUUCAAUGGUAUUUCGCUCCUUCUGUGAUCCUAGAGAUUCAAAUACUCACAGAGAGUAAUACAGAUGUUUCAGGGGUACCAGGAGGGGAAGAUCUGCCCUCCAGGGCAAGAUACAGGCCAUAUUCCUAUCCUGGGUCAACACUUCAGCUUGUACUGGGGCAUGCCCCAGCCGCCUCUACCAAACUCUUCGGCCAGAUGUCUGCAGCUGCAUAACUGUAUCAAAGGGGGUGUCCUGAUCUGACAUAGGGACAUGAUGGGGGGGUCCCUUUAGCAACGAAGAUUGGAGUGUUGACCACAAUAUCCAUAGGCCAUGUACCCAUUACCAGAGGGACUACCGAGCUUCCCACCUCCAGUAAUCUCCUCCAGGGUAGGAGGAGAUUGUGCAAGAAGGGCACACCACUUCGGUCCUACCUGUACCUACCAAGGCCAUUUUACUCUAUGGGUACCUGGUUGUAAAUUCUCAGGGGUAGGGACCAGAAGGUUAUUUUCAUUGCCAAUCUGGGGUUUUACCCAAUUAUCAGUGCCUGUAAUUUGGAUCCUAAGCGGGGAGGCCCAUGUUGUCUGUAGCAUUUUCAGGGCACUGGGUCUGCCAUCUUUAGGUCUUUCGUUCAGGUCCCACAGGGUUUCAUAGAGUCCCUUUGUCCACCCGUGCAGGGACUGUGAAUCUCUCUUCAGGGCAGCCUUAUGAAUACCGUUACGAUGUUCAAUGAGUCCUGCCCUCGUUGGAUUAUAUGGCAGGUGGAAUCACCAUCCAGUGUUGUUUUCUUCUGCCCAGUGUUGUAUCACGGUACCAGUAAAAUGAGUUCCUUGGUCACUCUCGAUGACUUGAGGUGUCCUGGAGGCAGACAGGAGCUCAGUAAGUGCUUGAUGGUAUAUGCCUGGUUUGCUCUUGGCACUGGAUAGGCCUGCAGUAGCCCACUUGCGGUAUCGAUGCAGGUCAGGGCAUAUCUCACCCCCUCAUACUGAGGGAGGGGCCCAAUAUAAUUGACCUGUCAUCGCUGGAGAGGAUUGUGUCCUCUAGCAAGAUGGGCUGUUGUUGCGGGCAGCAAUCUCAGUCUCAUCUUGGAGCAAGCGUCACAGUCUCAGCAUGCCUGGGUGAUGUCAGAUAGUUGCAUGGGCAACUCCCAUGCUUUAGCAGCUGCCCAUAUUGUCUUUUGUCCAGCAUGCCAUAGCUUCUGAUGUAAUCAAUGGGUGAUGUUCUCAGAUGGUGAAUCCUCAGUCCAUCAAACUUGGGUUGGUGUGUCCGCUUCGUCAUUUCCUGGUGAUUGUAAAGGUUGAUGACCAGAAACAUGUUAGACACAUACAGUCCUGUGUUUAACUGCAUUCCAUAUGUCUAACCACAUAUCUCUGCCCAAGAUUGGUCGGGCAUGGAUAGUCCAUUCUUGGGUGGCCCACUGUGCAAUCCAAAGAGUGAGCCCCCAGUACACGGCCCAACUAUCUGUGCAGAUAUUCAGGACACUAUCACCAGAUUCCUUAGUUAUAACCAUCCACACGGCUUGCAGUUAUGCCCAUUGGCUGCUCUGACCAUCCGUCUCUUCAAACCAGACUGUCUCAGUGGAGGGAUGGUAUGCUACUGCUCUCCACUAACUCAGGUUGCUCUUGCUGGACCCAUCUGUGUGCCAUGCAUCCUCAGGAAUGGGAUAUUUCCCCUCCUGAAUGGGACUCUUCUCUGGUGGAGCAACCAAUGUGUCUUUUGGUGCCUCACUGUGAUAUGUCACUGGGCCUACAAUCUUCUGGAGUUCUUUCAGUGGUGAUGAAGAUAGACUAUUCCUCUGGCUAAGAUAGGCGACCCAUCACACCACCAUUUAUGCUUGGCCACCCUCGUCUUAGGAAUGUGAGUCAGAUCUUUCAUCCACCCCUGAAUUGGCAGGGUGUUCUUAACUAUGGAUUUGUCAAUAAUCCUCACCCCAAGUUUUGGGGGAUGAUUAUGAAAUUUUUGAUCGUCCUUCAACUGCCUCCAUAGCUGGAGGAGGACAUGAUUGGGCUGGUGAUCAAUUUUCGCAAAUUGAACCCCAGCCCGGAUUAAGCCAUUAAACAUUUGUUAUCAGGAUACCCGUAUGGGUCCUGAUUGAGGAGUUCGUAGGGUGGGUCUCCUGGUUUUAGUUACUAGAAGGACCUCUGCCCCUUCCAAUGUUCAGAUACUGCACCUGGUCCAAAGGCGCUCUGUCUCCCCUAGAUCAGCUACCAGCUGGGCAGCCUGUUGAACCACGGACUCUGAGGCUACUAGGGAGUUUAGUAUGGAAACUAGAGUUCCAUACAGAUGGGAAGGAGCCUGUUGCAGGAUCAGGUCUCUCAUGCCUAUUGAGAAUUUUACCAGGUGUGGGCUUUGAAAUGCGUCUUUGUAUAUCACCUCUCUUAUACUCAGUUCGUGAAUAUAGUUUUGAAGGUCUUCUGUGAAGGACCAUAAACCUGUGUGUAAUAGUAUGUCAGAUUUAUUGGCCAAACCAUAUGGCAUGCUGCCAUCAACCAAUCUAUUAUCGAGUGAUUCUUGUUGGUAUACUGGACAGCAGCAUAUAGCCCCUAAGGGCAGGGUGAACAGUAAUAGAUGCCAAUUUACAGAUUUCUGACCCACUGACCGUAACACUUUCCAUCCAUGAAUCCCAUCAUCGGAGAAGCCAGGCUGGUACGCUUUCUCUGGGCUUCUGUCUGAAUCACUGUACCAAGUCCAUUAAUUCCAUGGCCAUAUAAGGACAGGCUAUUACAUGUAAAUGGAUUUGGGCAGGGGGCCACUGAUCAGGGGGCACCCCUGGUGAUCUAUCUUGUAUUUUGUUGUUGUUGUUUUUUGAGUUACUAUAGGACAGAUCUCAAAGGAAUCCAUCGCAGAUAGAGCUUUGAGAUCUGAUUUGGAAGCUUUGUCUUCUGGAUCCACUAGGUUGAUCAAUUCAGGAACCUGCGUAUCAUCUACUGAAAUGUUAUGGACCUGUUUUAUUGGGAAAUUUAGGCUUGAUUUUUUCCCCUGUCAGUAUACCAAGUUGUUGUUCAAGUUUCUCAAUCCGAUCUCAUAACAGUAGAUUUUCACUUUCUAAAGUAUUGGUUGUCAUUUCAGCCUGAUUUAAAGCAAUUAAUAGUGGCCAUGCCACAGUAGAAGCAGCUAGCUGAUGUUCUUUUGUAACUAAUAUCCCUUCGCUCAAUCCAUGAGAAUAAUCUGCCAUGUGGGUUGGGGAAGGAGUAUUUCUUGUAACCUGCAGGGGACUCCAUUUUUCAAUUAUAGUCACCAGUUCAUAGUAAGGUGAUCCCAGAAAUCCUCAGAUCUGUCUGGGAAUUGUUUUGUCUAGGAGGAAGUAAUGUUCUUCCCCGCUGAACAAUUUAAAGAUAUUCUAAAGGAAAUACUUUUUUGUUUUUUUGGCCUUCCUGGCUCACCAACUGUGUAUUUGGAAGAGUAGUGCAGUAAGGAUGGUACUUUACAGGUGUUACAGUUGGAAAAAGUAUCAUGGUAGAAAAGAGACAAUCAAAGAAGAAAUGCUCACCUGUAUCCAAGGAUCUAGGCUCACAAUAAAAAACUCCAAAUGGAGCAAUCUCCAGAAAGAGAUCCUUCCCCCAGUCAGCCCUUAAGUGGGGUCUAGGAGAGGUGGAGCCAGGCUCCACCCCUACUGGUCACACAGCUGAAUUGCCUUCACCUGUGCUCCCGCAGCUGACUCAGUCCUUUCCUCAGGUGAAAAAUCAGAGGUUCAGGAUGUGAUUCAAUUGUUCCCAUACAGUUGCAUCAAAGGAAACAUGAUCAGCAGGUUGAGGGAGGUGAUCCUGCUCCUCUACUCUGUGCUGGUGAGGCCUCUGUAUUAUGUCCAGAUGUGGGAUCCUCAGGACAGACAUAGACCUGAGGAAGUGCAUCCAGAGGAGGGCCAAAAAAAAUGAUCCAAGCAAUGAAACACCUUCCCUGUGAGAAUGGGCUGAGAGAGCUGGGGCUGUUCAGCCUGGAGAAGAGAAGGCUCUGAGGAGACUUGAUAAUGGCCUUUCAAUAUCUAAAAAGGGGCUAUAAGAAAGAAAAGGGCAGACUCUUUAGCAGGGUUUGUCGCGACAGGACAAAGGAAAAUGGUUUUAAAAUAAAGGAGAGAAAAUUUAGAUUGGAUAUAAGGAAAAAAUUUUUACAAUAAGAAUGUUGAGGCAUUGGAACAGAUCACUCAGAGAGGUGGUAGAAGUCCUGUUCCUGGAGACAUUCAAAAUCAGGCUGGACCAGGCUCUGAGAAACCUGAUCUAGCUGUGGGUGUCCCUGUUCAUUGCAGGGAAGCUGGACUAGAUAUAGAAUGAUAUAAUCAAAAGAUUAUAUGAUUCUAUAAGUCAAUGAAGAUAAGGAGGGAUUUGUAAAGUAAGUUUCAAAAAAAUCACAGUGUUUUGUAGAAUCAUGGUAGUUAAUAGUGUGAGGCAUUUAGAGAACUAUGGUUGCGAGCAUCUCAGAAAUACAAAAUAGCAUUCCAUAGGAAAUGCAGGGAAAAAGAAUGAAAAUUUGAAGCUAGCUCCACCCUGCAACAAUUUAAAACAUAGUUGAAUAUUUAAAAAAAAAGUUUAGGCCUAGACUGUUAUUUCUGUUAUAAAAGUCAAAUCUUUGGAGAUGGAGAUGAUUAAUAAAUAUACAAAAAUACAUCAUGUCUUUAAUAGCAAAAUGCAAUACAUUCUGUUUUGAAAGUGUGUAAAAAAAAACCCAGCAUAAUCAAAAUGCUUUUAAAUUAGGGCUUUUCUUCCACCUUUCUUACUUUCUUUUUCUUUCCUUUCUUUUUCCCCCCCUUUCUUCCCUUCUUUCUGUCUUUUUUUCAGAAUGAAGUUUCUUUAUCCUGAGAGUCUGACAUAGAAAGUUUUGUGUUUUUUUUUUUUUUUACAAAGUUUUUUUUUUUUAAUUGGAAGAUUUUCAACUGAUUCUACCCAGAAGGAAGUUAAUAAAUUUUCAGGGAAGUGCUUAUGUAUUGUGCCAUAAAUAAAGCUUGGGGGUAGAAUCUGAACUGUAAGCAUUGAACAAAUAACUGCUUAUUAAUUUUAAAGCAACCAUCUGAUGCAUUGAAUGGGGCACAAUUCUUUGGACAAAACAACGAACCUAUCCAUAAUUCUGAGAAGUGAACAACAUAAACACUGCAGAAUUAAUGACAGAAGUUUCUAACUUUUAUAAGAGCUUUUUUUUUCCCAUAACCUUAAAAUUAUUUUAAUAUUUUAAUAUAGGUCUUCUGCAUACACAUACAUGUAGGUCCUCUGGAAAGUGAUGCCUUCUAUUUAUUUCCAGAGUCCCAGGUGAACCUCAUGAAGUUCAACAAAUCCAAGUGCAAGGUCUUGCACAUGGGUCAUAGCAACCCCUGAUAUAAGUACAAGUUGGGGGAUGAAAGGAUAGAGUACAGCUCUGUUGAAAAUGACUUGGGAUAACAGUGGAGUCAUGGAAUUGCUCAGGUUGGAAAAGACCUUAAAGAUCAUCAAGUCCAACCACAACCUAACCAUACUACCUUAACUCUAACAACCCACUGCUAAAUCAUGUCCCUGAGCACCACAUCCAAAUGGGUUUUAAACGCAUCCAGGGAUGGUGACUUAACCACCCGGGGAGCCUAUUCCAGUGCUUAACAACCCUUUCUGUAAAGAAGUUUCUCCUGAUACGCAACCCAAACUUACCCUGGCACAACCCAGUCCUCAGUACAGGAGAGACAGGGACCUGUUGGAGCACAUCCAGAGGAGUUACCCACAGCACUCACUGCUUCUUCCUGCAUGACACAGGGUCCAUCAGCUCCAUUGUUUUUCUUGAAGCCAUGCACCCAGCUCCUUCUCAGCUUGGAGAACACUAAAUCUGGAGUGACCAGUUUACAGCCUUCAUCUUCUACAGACUUUUGAUUUAAGGCUUCACAUGGCACAGAGCUCACCUGCAUCUCCACUGCAACAGGAAGUUAAGAUCCCUGGAGCUGUAGGGCUCUGAUAGUACCUAUCCAUCUCUUGCUCAUCUACUUGAGUGCUCUGCAGACUGCUUACUUCCUCCUCUAACUUCUUUACCUGGCAACGUAACUCACCAACAACAGCAACACACCUUCUGUAGAAGAGAUGGCUCUCAGCCUCUACAAAGUGGCCCCAGGUGCUCCCUGCAACCUGGGAGCUGCAGAGCUUCCUCACUGUUUAGGUGGGAACUUCUGCCAUAUCUGACACAGCAACUCCAACAGCUGCUGGAGAAUGAGCUCCACAGUGUGUCAAAAAAACCUGAGGGACUGUAUGCCAGUAAGACUGAAUGAGACCUUCUUGUGCCCUUCUGCACAAACUGCUAUACAAAAUGUUGAGUCUGUUCACUGCACUCAGGUGGUCACAGAAUGGUCCCCAGUUACUGGGUUAUGUGUACCUCAAGUCUCUCACCAGACCAGCAGAACAGCCUCCUUCAGAGAUGUGGCCUCCCUGUGAGUCCUGCCAUGUGGAGACAUGGGACACAAAUCCACAGGAAACCAGGCUUUGUUAGCUCUGUACUUCUGAAACAGCAUGUUGCCUGUCUACUUAAGGCCACUGCACAGCCAAAGAUGUAUGGGAAAGGAAACUGGAAUUUUAUUCCCUGAUAUACCAUAUUUAUCUGCCUUCCUUCUAUUCUGCUAUUCAUAAUGGCUUCUUACCAGUUGUCUGAACUUGAAAGUACUCAUCUCUAGUUCCCAAGAUUACCCUUAGACUUCUUUGAAAUAAAUAUUAUCCCACAUAAGCAAAGACAUUUCCUGUCUCAGUUGGAAACAGAUGUCCACCAUUCAUUUCUAGAGUGAAGGAGGAUAUAAGUGCAUGUAUUGAGAAGCGUUAUUUAAAUUUUAAUAUUGUUUACAAAUCUGAGUUUACAAUCAACUCAGCAAAAGCAGAUCCAUUAAAAAUAAAUAAACAAAAACCCAACAUGACUGUACGUGGCAUGGCGAGAAGAAGAGUAUGGAUUUGGAUAUUUACCACAUUAAUGUGUAAUCACAAAGCACAUUGUGAUGAAGGAUACCUUUCUGUAUGUUGCUUCUAAGAGGCAUCGUGGAGGAGAAAGUUAAUAAAAAAUUCAAUUAAAGUGUUGUGCAGCAGUAAUAGUCUCAAAACAAUGUAUUUUGAGGAGUCCCAUAUGAAUAUUUUACAUAUAAUUCACCUAUUGGUGGUCAUAUCUUUUCAUAAAGUGGUUUCGUAAAGUCUUGUAUGCAUUUUACUUGUGUUUUAUAUAUGGUUAGUAUGCUUAGCUAGUUCUAACACCUCAUUAUUCUGAUAAUUACAAUAGAUUUAGGAGUGAUAAAAUUCUUUCCUUCCAUUACAACUGUUUUUUUUUUAAGCAGAAAAAUAGCUCCUUUAAGUUUUUUCUAGUUGACUUAUAUGUAAAAGAGGAGAACUAUUCCUAAAUCCUUAUUGAAUUGUUUGCUCUCUAAUACUUUGACACUGAGCUCCAUCAUUUGUGUGGCCUGUUCUUGGAUGUAAAAAUACUGCUGUUCCUGUGAAGUAGAGACAGCUCAAGCCCGUUUUCCUGCGCUAAGCAAAUCCUCUGUCUGCCACAUUUUGUCAUGAGUAAAAUAACGUUGACGUUAGUUGUUAACACACUGGCUGAUCUCAAGAUGGCAUGUAGAAAGUGGGAAAUUUCUUUUUACAAUAACGAUGACAGCCAUAUAUUGAUUUAAUCAGAGUACCUUUGGUCUCUGUAAUAGUCAUGCCAUGUGAGAAACUGGCUCCAUUAAUGAUCCAAGAACUCUUAUAAAAUCUCUAUCAAAUUCUACUUUUUUCUACCACGAUGCCAUAAGAUUUUUGAACAGGCUUGGUUUCUCCAGUGUAAAUAAGAGAAGGUUGAAUUAGCAAAACAUUUUACAUAUUACAUGAUGUGUGAAGAAUUAACAGAGGCAGCUCAUCAUAGCCAACUACCUGAAAGAGUGCAUAUUUUAUGCUAACUUCUAACUUUCAGCAAAUAGCACAGAAUCUGCAUGGAUUGAAGCUCCCAGGUGAAACCGGGGCAUGUCUGCCAUGCGAGCAGUUUCACUUAUCCCUGUAUCUCUCAUACCUAACUGCAGAGUUUUAGGUCAGAUGGUGUCUCAGGACAGGGGCACAAUAAUACUGAAAGAUGUUAAUUAUGUCGCUAUGGUCUGGAUAAAUCAUGCUUUGAAGAGUGAUGCGGAGACUGAUUUUUUAGCUCUAACAUUAAUGAGAGUAGCAAAUGGCAGCUAGUAAGGAAAUAUUGGCUGUAGGUUUUGAUCUGCACGCAGCUCCUGUUUCAAAGUACCCAUGUCCAAGAGCUACUUUAUACCUGUAACUAAAAGGCACAAAAUUACUGCAGGCACAAUAAAAGUAACUGUAGGGCAAAUAGGUAUACAGGUAUUGGACCAUACAGAUUACCACAUUACAAAGGAGAAAUGAAAUAAAGAUCUCACCCGUGUCCUGGGCUCACAGAAGGGCUCCAAGAAGAAGGAUCUCCAGAGAGAGAUCCUUCCUCCCUGGGAGUCAGCCCUUAAAUGGGGUCUAGGAGAGGUGGAGCCAGGCUCCACCCCUUCUGGUCACACAGGUGAAAUUGUGUUCACCUGUGCCCCUGCGGCUGACUCAGCACUCGCCUCAGGUGGUCAAUCAGAGGUUCAGGCCGUGAUUCAACAGUUCCCAUACAGUAACAAAACAAAGCCACGCCGCUGUAGGGUGUAUUGCCCAAGGAGGUUGUGGAUGCCCCAUCCCUGGAGGCAUUCAAGGCCAGGCUGGAUGUGGCUCUGGGCAGCCUGGUCUGGUAGUUGGUGACCCUGCACAUAGCAGAGGGGUUGUAAUUAGAUGAUCUUUGAGGUCCUUUUCAAUUCAGGCCAUUCUGUGAUUCUAUGAUUCUAUGAAAACAGCAAUGUGACAAAGCUUAUGAUACUAACCCAUUUAAAACUAGAUAAGGAAAGGAUUUCACAGUACUGUGUGCAGGGCAGUUGAGCACAGCAUAGUCCUGUCUCUGAUGUGCAGCAGAAAGCUCCAGAUAGCACAUUUCACACAGUGCCCCGGGCAGAGCAGCCUCGUGAAUGGUGGGGAAGGUGCUCCUCACCAGCGUGCUGGGAGGGUGAGUGGUGUGCUGUAGUCUCAUACUGUACUCUUCUGGAGAGACAUAAUGAC
ensembl:lncRNA